rnacentral:rRNA from 1 species
UACGGAGGGUGCAAGCGUUAUCCGGAUUCACUGGGUUUAAAGGGUGCGUAGGUGGGUUGGGAAGUCAGUGGUGAAAUCUCCGAGCUUAACUUGGAAACUGCCAUUGAUACUAUCAGUCUUGAAUAUUGUGGAGGUUAGCGGAAUAUGUCAUGUAGCGGUGAAAUGCUUAGAUAUGACAUAGAACACCAAUUGCGAAGGCAGCUGGCUACACAUAUAUUGACACUGAGGCCCGAAAGCGUGGGGAUCAAACAGG